AUGUCCCGCUCGUCCGUCGAUGUUCAACAGAUGCAGCAAGUGCCAGUCCACUUUUUCUCAGCUGCACCUUCUCAGUCCAGGCAGCAACAGCACCAGGUGAAUGUAGGUACACAACUUCCAAGUGAAAGACGCACGAGUGCAAUUCUGAAGCUGAUUUUCAGGCAUGGAGAGAAGAAAUGCAGGAUGCAGCCAAGAGUCAUUUUACUAAAGGCACAGGGGUAAAAAGAUUGAAAGAUGGAGGUUUAAAGUGUUGUUAUAUUUGUAACU